GCAAGCGUUGUCCGGAAUCAUUGGGCGUAAAGAGCGUGUAGGCGGCUCGGUAAGUCCGCUGUGAAAGUCCAGGGCUCAACCCUGGAAUGCCGGUGGAAACUGUCGAGCUAGAGUCCGGAAGAGGCGAGUGGAAUUCCUGGUGUAGCGGUGAAAUGCGCAGAUAUCAGGAGGAACACCAAUGGCGAAGGCAGCUCGCUGGGACGGUACUGACGCUGAGACGCGAAAGCGUGGGGAGCAAACAGG
rnacentral:rRNA from 1 species